UACGGGGGGGGCAAGCGUUGUUCGGAAUUACUGGGCGUAAAGGGCUCGUAGGCGGCCAACUAAGUCGGAUGUGAAAUCCCUAGGCUUAACCUAGGAACUGCAUCCGAUACUGGAUGGCUUGAAUCCGGGAGAGGGAUGCGGAAUUCCAGGUGUAGCGGUGAAAUGCGUAGAUAUCUGGAGGAACACCGGUGGCGAAGGCGGGUCUCUGGGCCGAUACUGACGCUGAGGAGCGAAAGCAUGGGUAGCGAACAGG
rnacentral:rRNA from 1 species